rnacentral:lncRNA from 1 species
GGGGACUCAGGGAGGCCCAGGACUGGGCAGAUGAGGGAGGGGACAUUGGUGGGGCUUGUGCCCUGGGGCCUCACAAAGGGGAGCCCUGGCCAGGCUGCUGACCGCUGCCCCUAGCCCUGCUCUGGUUCAACCGUCCCUGUCCUUAACCACCAAGGCAGAGAUGCGGGACCGCCCUGUGCUGGAGGACCCUGAAAGAGAAUGGGCCCCAACCCUGACCCCACACCACCUCCAGGGAAGGGCUGCACACAGAGGUCCCAAGAGACCAGAGGGAUGAAGGUCAUGGGCAGCACCGUGAGAGGGGACCUAAGGGUGCCUCUCUACCUUAGUCCUGGUGUCCCAGGAGAGAGCAGGGGCAAGGAAGAAGCAGCCACCCCCGCCUCCCCAGGAGCCCCCAGAGGACGGUGCUCCAGAGCAGGCCACAGACAGGAGCUCAGGCAGGUGCCUCUGGUGGGAGUGUUCUGCCCUGGACCCCUGUUCCCGGUGCAGACAAGUCCUGACCCCCUCGCCAUCCCUCCUGCACCCUGGGCCCACUGACAGCCAUGGGGCCUGUGCCCAAGGGGGACUCUACUUGUGCCUUAUUCUUGUAUGGCUCUCAUUGGUGCCUCACACUUACAGAGAACAGUGGAUGCACUGUGAGGAGUUGCACGAGCAUGCCACAGUGUGACCAGUCUCCUUCCCUCCUCCUCCCUCACCCCUUCCUCCUCCACUGGCCUCUCUUUUAUUAUUUUUUUAAUUAGUGCAUUAUAAUCAUACAUCAAAGCGGGAUUCAGGCACCGUGGGAUCCAACCACAAAGAAUUGGUGAAGAUUUGGGGUUUACCGCCCACGAUGGUGGUGAGAUCACAGAGAGACACAGCCACUCUGCUGCUGACAGGCCACGGAACAGGCCAGCGCACCAGGAGAACACUGGGUGACAGGCCAGUUCCUGUGUGUAGUAGGACCAAGUGUGUGAGGGCAGAGGUGGCCGCAAUCUCACUUUGGACCCAGAGCUGGCACGGUACCUUUCAGGGAUUGGCCCCCACAGGGUUUCCAAGACGUGGGUUGAGCUGCUGUCUCAGUAGCGGGGUCUCAGGGGGUUUUCACGGGAAGCAGUGUGACCAGCCAGGUGGCAUCUGUCCUGUGGUUUUAAAGACCAAUGUGAAGUCGGUUUCUCCAGGGAAAAGCGCAACAGUAAAAUCCGCGCCUGGCUAGGGGUCAUCAGGAAGGGCUCCCAGGAGGCUGUUAGUGCCUCCAGCUGCACGGGGGACCAACCUGCACCAGUGUAAAUGACCCAGGUGUCCGGGAUGAGCUCCACUCCCUUCCUGAGUGACCAGCCCUCUCUGCCCAAGCCUGCCUUGGCAACUAGGGCUAGAAGGGGCUGCGUAGACACCGCAGCCUGAGCGGGCAGAGGCCCGGGACUCUGGGGUGUGACUGAGGCCCCCACUGUCAGGGGACAGAUGGUGGGAACACGAGAUUAAGAGAAUAAUCUUAUCAAAUGAGCCCAGUGUACUGACCCCCACACCAACCUGCCUGCAGCCCCACCUGCCUGAGGGGACAGGAGAUGUCACCUUCCAACAAACUGAGUCGGUGGUGAAGGCCUGGCAGUCAGUGUAGGUCCUGAAUGCUGGGGGUUGAGAGGUGAGGGCUGGUCAUCCAGGGAAGACAAGGGGUGGCUAACAGCUGACCUCCAGGACCUCACUCCCGCCCUGUUCCUGCUCCUUCCUGCCCUUAGGCAGGUACAGGGAGAAGAAAGAGAAGGAGGGGGUUCUGAGGUCCACAAAGAGGAAGAUGCACCCCACUCCCCCGGGCACCCAGCUCUGGGCCCCCUUCUCUCCAGAGAAGUCCUGUGUCCUGCUGUCCCUGUGUCUUUUCUUAAAUAAAACUUGCUUUCUACGCUUGCCUUGGCA